rnacentral:snoRNA from 1 species
GGCCUACGUUUUGCCCGCUCUUCGCCUUCCAUAAGGAGCGCGGCGUCAACAAAGGCAAACAUGAUAUCGCUUGGAUCGGCCUUGCCAAGGUUUCUCCUCAUGAUACCUUGUCUUCAGUUCUAUGCCAAGUACAGCG